rnacentral:rRNA from 1 species
CGUAAAGAGCUUGCCUCACAGCUAGGGACAACAUUUAGAAAUGAAUGCUAAUACCUGAUAUUAUGAUUUUAAGGCAUCUUAGAAUUAUGAAAGCUAUAAGCACUGUGAGAGAGCUUUGCGUCCCAUUAGCUAGUUGGAGAGGUAACAGCUCACCAAGGCGAUGAUGGGUAGCCGGCCUGAGAGGGUGAACGGCCACAAGGGGACUGAGACACGGCCCUU